CGUCAAGUCCUCAUGGCCCUUAUGUCCAGGGCUACACACGUGCUACAAUGGACGGUACAAAGGGCUGCAAACCCGCGAGGGGGAGCCAAUCCCAAAAAGCCGUUCUCAGUUCGGAUUGGAGUCUGCAACUCGACUCCAUGAAGUCGGAAUCGCUAGUAAUCGCGGAUCAGCACGCCGCGGUGAAUACGUUCCCGGGCCUU
rnacentral:rRNA from 1 species